AUGCUGCCAACACCGCCCGUGGGCCACGGCCACUGUGUCUCCAUGCAAUGGACCGACAUCGUCAUCGACCCCUCCCUCCUCAACGACACCCAUAUCGUCUUCGGCGCCGGCGUCGCAGCAGAGGUACUGCUCAUAUCUGAGAACCAGGUGUUUGGAAAGACCGUAGGAGCCCUGAGACACGGUGAUGUGCAGAAUAAUAUUACCAUUGCUGCGCGGCUGUGGCGCCACCGCACUGGCAGGCGGUACAGCCCGACCAACACAUUCAACGAUUUUCAUCUACAUCACGAGCUCACUGCUACCCCAGAGACACUUCCGUCUCUCUCCCUCAUAGCAUCCCACGUACCCCUGUGCUACACCCAGCCCAAAUACAAUUCUUCAUCUCUCUCAUGUUAG
rnacentral:rRNA from 1 species